rnacentral:rRNA from 1 species
UAGGGAAUCUUCCACAAUGGGCGAAAGCCUGAUGGAGCAACGCCGCGUGUGUGAUGAAGGCUUUCGGGUCGUAAAGCACUGUUGUAUGGGAAGAACAGCUAGAAUAGGAAAUGAUUUUAGUUUGACGGUACCAUACCAGAAAGGGACGGCUAAAUACGUGCCAGCAGCCGCGGUAAUACGUAUGUCCCGAGCGUUAUCCGGAUUUAUUGGGCGUAAAGCGAGCGCAGACGGUUUAUUAAGUCUGAUGUGAAAGCCCGGAGCUCAACUCCGGAAUGGCAUUGGAAACUGGUUAACUUGAGUGCAGUAGAGGUAAGUGGAACUCCAUGUGUAGCGGUGGAAUGCGUAGAUAUAUGGAAGAACACCAGUGGCGAAGGCGGCUUACUGGACUGCAACUGACGUUGAGGCUCGAAAGUGUGGGUAGCAAACA